rnacentral:misc_RNA from 1 species
GAUGAAGAACGCAGUGAAAUGCGAUACUUGGUGUGAAUUGCAGAAUCCCGUGAACCAUCGAGUCUUUGAACGCAAGUUGCGCCCGAAGCCAUUAGGCCGAGGGCACGCCUGCGUGGGCGUCACACGUCGUUGCCCCCCCAUCUACUCCUUCGGGAUUGCGGGGGGCGGAUGAUGGCCUCCCGUGCGCCUCGCCGCGCGGUUGGCAUAAAUGCCAAGUCCUCGGCGACGCACGCCACGACAAUCGGUGGUUGCGAAACCUCGGUUGCCCGUCGUGUGCGGUCGUCGCGCAUCGAGGGCUCGAAAAAAUUGCCGGGUUCCGGCUCGGCUUUCAACGCGACCCCAGGUCAGGCGGGGUUACCCGCUGAAUUUAAGCAUAUCAAUAAGCGGAGGA